CUUUGGAUAUCUCAUGGUGGGUCGUGUGUUUUGGGCUGCUUGGCUAUGUGAUGAAAAAAGACGGAGUUGGAAUGGAGGAGGAUUGAUGAUGGGCUCUGCCUAUCUGAUCCACCUCUUAGGCUAAAAUGGUAUAAACACAUUCCUUGGGUUUCCUUAAUGAGUUUUGAUCAUUCUUUGAUCCUUUGGAAUAUGGAGAAUCAACACAGCAGGUCUUUACCAAGUAUUUUCUCCAAAUGCACCUAUCUAGUAUGUUUCUGUUCGCAGGGUCUCUACUUAGGACAAUAACC